AUUGAACGCUGGCGGCAGGCCUUACACAUGCAAGUCGAGCGAGAAAGGCCUUCGGGCUGAGUACAGCGGCGGACGGGUGAGUAACGCGUAGGAAUCUACCUGGUAGUGGGGGACAACAUGGGGAAACUCAUGCUAAUACCGCAUACGCCCUAUGGGGGAAAGCGGGGGACCUUCGGGCCUCGCGCUAACAGAUGAGCCUGCGUAGGAUUAGCUUGUUGGUGAGGUAAAGGCUCACCAAGGCGACGAUCCUUAGCUGGUCUGAGAGGAUGAUCAGCCACACUGGAACUGAGACACGGUCCAGACUCCUACGGGAGGCAGCAGUGGGGAAUAUUGCGCAAUGGGCGAAAGCCUGACGCAGCCAUGCCGCGUGUGUGAAGAAGGCCUUAGGGUUGUAAAGCACUUUCAAUUGGGAAGAAAGGUUGCGUGUUAAUAGCACGUAGCUGUGGCGUUACCUUUAGAAGAAGCACCGGCUAACUCCGUGCCAGCAGCCGCGGUAAUACGGAGGGUGCGAGCGUUAAUCGGAAUUACUGGGCGUAAAGCGCGCGUAGGCGGUUUGUUAAGUCGGAUGUGAAAGCCCCGGGCUCAACCUGGGAAUUGCAUUCGAUACUGGCCGACUAGAGUACGAGAGAGGGAGGUAGAAUUCCACGUGUAGCGGUGAAAUGCGUAGAUAUGUGGAGGAAUACCGGUGGCGAAGGCGGCCUCCUGGCUCGAUACUGACGCUGAGGUGCGAAAGCGUGGGUAGCAAACAGGAUUAGAUACCCUGGUAGUCCACGCCGUAAACGAUGUCUACUAGCCGUUGGGAGACUUGAUUUCUUAGUGGCGCAGCUAACGCACUAAGUAGACCGCCUGGGGAGUACGGCCGCAAGGUUA
rnacentral:rRNA from 1 species